rnacentral:rRNA from 1 species
CCUACGGGAGGCAGCAGUGGGGAAUAUUGCACAAUGGGGGAAACCCUGAUGCAGCGACGCCGCGUGAGUGAAGAAGUAUUUCGGUAUGUAAAGCUCUAUCAGCAGGGAAGAAGAAAGACGGUACCUGACUCAGCAGCGCCGGCUAACUACGUGCCAGCAGCCGCGGUAAUUCGUAGGGGGCAAGCGAUAUCCGGAAUUACUGGGUGUAAAGGGAGCGUAGACGGUGAUGUAAUGCUGGAGGGAAAGGCGGGGGCCCAACCCCCGGACGGCUCUGGAAACUAUGGGACUGGAGUGCAGGAGAGGUGAGCGGAAUUCCUAGUGUAGCGGUGAAAUGCGUAGAUAUUAGGCGGAACACCAGUGGCGAAGGCGGCUCACUGGACUGUAACUGACGUUGAGGCGCGAAAGCGUGGGUAGCAAACAGGAUUAGAUACCCCUGUAGUC